UAAGUAAAUCAAACUAGUCCUGCUGUGAUUCACCUUUGUACCAUGAAGACUCUAGGAAGAUAUUUAUUUUGGAAAUAUCCUCUACAGCUAGAGAAAAUCUAGAGCAGGCAGGAACAUGGCUUACAUUCAUUAAGAUUUAAACUGGAUCAAAACUAUUACAAGUGAAAAGGGUUAAGGGGAAAAAAUUCAAAACACUGAUAUGACUUUAGAUACUUCAUUUGACUGAAUUUCCAAACAUUUUUUAAUCUAAUUUCAGCAGCUAACAAUUAUCACUAACUUAAUUAAUAAUAGAAAAUACUGAUACAGACCAUCACAGGUACUUAACAAAUGCUUGGUGAAGAAACAAAAAAAGACCUUCAUCUAUACAUGGCAAUAUGACUGGGGCCUAGACAGCAUGGAAACAUGUUUUAGAAAAAUAUUUAACUAUAAAAGAAAUCAACAUGUGCUAAAGUUGUCCACUACACAAAAAUAUUUCUUUCUUUUUUUUUUGAGACGGAGUUUCGCUCUUGUUACCCAGGCUGUUAAAAGACAUGAGACGAAUCAUAAACAAGGUAAGAGCCAAAUGUGAUGGAAGUCCAGAGAACAGAGUAACUUAUCUGCACUGGAGAUUCCAAGAAGGC
rnacentral:lncRNA from 1 species